GGUUGAGGCUCAGUGGUAGAGCACUUGCCUAGCACGUUUGAGGCCCUGGGUUCAAUCCUCAGCACCA
rnacentral:tRNA from 1 species